UCCGUUAUGGUGUAGUGGCUAACAUUAUCGCCUCUCAUAUAGAUGUUCUUUGACGCUCUUGAAGCGCGAUAGCCCAGGGUUCGAUUCCCUGUAACGGAA